rnacentral:rRNA from 1 species
AUUGAACGCUGGCGGAAUGCUUUACACAUGCAAGUCGAGCGGCAGCACGGGGGCAACCCUGGUGGCGAGCGGCGAACGGGUGAGUAAUACAUCGGAACAUGCCCAGUCGUGGGGGAUAACACUUCGAAAGAAGUGCUAAUACCGCAUACGUCCUGAGGGAGAAAGCGGGGGGAUCGCAAGACCUCGCGCGAUUGGAGUGGCCGAUGUCAGAUUAGCUAGUUGGUGGGGUAAAGGCCUACCAAGGCAACGAUCUGUAGCUGGUCUGAGAGGAUGAUCAGCCACACUGGGACUGAGACACGGCCCAGACUCCUACGGGAGGCAGCAGUGGGGAAUUUUGGACAAUGGGGGCAACCCUGAUCCAGCCAUUCCGCGUGAGUGAAGAAGGCC